rnacentral:lncRNA from 1 species
GGGGAGUUGAAUGUGCUCCUCUGGAGGGACUGAGGGAAGCCAGGGCUGGCUCGAAAGCAAUUUUGCCUAGAUGAAGCUGGCAGCUGGGAACCACUUUCCCUCCUCUUGCCCUCUGCCGGGGAAACUCCAUGACGGAGACAAGGCAGCUGGCAGGGAGAAGCCUCUGGAUUGGGGCUGCUGCAGUGCCAGGCAGGGCCACACAGGAACACAUAGGCCCAGAGGCAGACGCUGAUGCCACCUUUCCUUGCUGAGGACUCCCUAGAAAGGCAGUGCCUUGGGGCCUGCGGGGAAGACUAUUUUUACCUGUAGCACAGAAGCAAAUAUAAAGGAACAGAGAACUAGUGGAAAAGAGGAACUGAAGAGAAAGGAAAUCGCUGGAUUUUGGAGGUUUUAUGAUUUAUCAGCUUAUUCUACGGAAUUAAGCCCUGGGCCUCAUGCCAUUUGUCAGGGGCCUGGUUCUAGCGAAGAUAUGUGUUUAUCCUUUGCCAUGAGAUCCCAAGAGUCUCCCAAAAUAUUGUGGGCCUCAGAACUGGUUUCUCUGGGUGGCAGAGGAUCAGCACAUAGGACAGAAGGAACCUGUUCCUCAGAGAUCCAAUUGGCAUCUCCCUUAAGCCUUUUGCUGCCCUCCACGAACCCAUCCUUUUGUGUUGCCAGCUCCAUGUCCCCGUUCCGGGGGAGGCCAGAAUGACACAGCUACAUGUCACCCCGUAGUCUACAAUGAGGGGAAGGAGCUGUGUCCCUGCUGGAAUUGAAAAACAUCCUUGAGGGCUGCAACUUUUACAGGGAAGGUUACCAUGCCAACGACAGCCUCCUUGCCUGACAGGGAUGAAAGGAAACAAGGCCGUGGGUGACAUGCAUCUAUUGUGUGUCCACAAACUUGCCUGGAAUCUAUCAGAGGCUGCGGACUGCUGCUCAGCAGGAUGGAACAGGAGGAUUCAGGAUGGUCUAGGAGGUUACCUAUGCUCUGGGGUAGAUAGAGGAGGGCAGCAGUCACGGAUGGCAGGUCACUGGGGCAGUGGGGCCACAGGCGUGCCUAUGGAAAAGGCUGUCUUGGCGAGGAGGCCCCAGAGAUGCCUAAGGAGGAGCGUCUCCCUCAAGGGGCAGGGCUUCCAGGGAGAAUGGCCCUCACUCCCGAACACGGAAAGGGCACAGAGGACUGAGGAGCUGGCACUGCCAAAGCACCUACGCCACGUCAGGCAGUUGACACAGCCCCCAUUUCAUUUAAUUAUCUCCACAAACCUGCACAGCAGGAACUCUCACUCCCAUUUCACGGAGGAGAUGAGGACACAGGCUCAGGAGAAGGUGAGUACCCAUUCCAGCAUCACCCGACUGGCAAGGGGAGACCCUGGGGCUGGAACCCCGCUGUCUGAACUGGAAAGGAAAACUCCAGAUUCAGGGUGCCCUAUUUUCUUCCGGAAAGAUCUCUCCCGAAGCCGUCCGCUCCUCGUUCUGCCCUUCGUACAGGCUUCCCGGGCCCGAGACGGCUGGGAAGAGGCUAAACGCGCACGUCCAGCAGGCGUCUGGGAAACCGCUCCUCCAGCCUGCAACUGCGAGGGCCCAGAGCUGCCACGCGGGCCUCCCCCGCAGCCUCUCGUUUCACUACAGCCUCCGGAGAGGGCCCGAGGCUCAGAGACGAAGCUGGAGCACAACACACCCUGCUGGAGGUUGUUCAGCGACCCCAGCCUCGGACCUCCAGCCACACAGGCCUCCGCUCCUCGCCGGCCGCUCUCCCCUGACAGUUGACAAGACAGCUGUCACAAAGUCCAACUUUCUGCUGGGGAGGAGACAAGCAAGUCCCCAUGUGGCCAGCUAGACCAGCCUGUGAGCCUGUGACUGUUCUGCCACAG